CAGGCAAUAGAAAGGAAAUGGAGCACCUGUACAGAAGUUCACUUAGGCGUAUUACUGCUGUGGCAGCGAGAUGAAUGGUGAUGAGGGCAGCGCUGUGCAGAUGAGUGGGAGGAGUGGGGGAGGCAACGAAACAAGGACUGUGUUAUCCAUACAUGGGAGCAGGAUUCUGUCUAUGGACGCUCAGUUCUGCUCUGGAACUGCAGAAAUAUCUGAGCAUAAGUUUUCCUUUCUGUCCAGCUCUGUCCUCAGUUCAUCUCAGCACACAUAUCCUUGAAGAUGGCACAGGUUGCUGAAAUAAGUAUCUGUGUCUACAUUUCAUCUUCUCACCCCUACAUCAGUUUCAAUGCCACGGUCUUCCUGAUGAUCAUGCCACCAGAAGAUGGCACUGAAAAACCCUGUCCUACAGCUGUAGCUUCUCAUGAAGACUGAUGAAAAUGUCUUCAAUAUGAUCCAAAUGGCACUUAAGCCUCAGGGUUCACUUCAUGCCUUUUGAUGCAUCCCUGAUCAGGCUUUGUUUUGGGAUAUGUGAUGGUAUAGGACCAUUAACCGUUACCAGUAAGUACUAAUGUUAAUUACAUUGAGCACAAUCCUCCAGUUGGUCCAUCUGUUAUUAAUUUCUUAUACGUUAUCUAUUCUUGUUUGGGGUUUUCUCUGUGCUCCAGGAACACGUCUUCUAGUUUUAUUCUGGCUUAAUUUAAAUGAUGUUAGCUCCUGUAUGCCUCAGUGAAACACUUCUGUGCUUUUUUAAAUUUAGCUUUCAUUUUUCAAGUGAUUUUUGAAGAUUAUGUUUGCAUGUGAUUUUAAUGUUUAGUUAUGGUGUUGCAUCUGAAUCUUUAUCUUAUUAAACAACUUUAACAUCUUGUAUUUCAUAUAGUGCACCUUUUGAAAAAAUCAAUCUCAGUAUAUUUUUGGAUUUGGGCUCUUUCCCUCAGGUUUGAAUACCGCCUUUUGUUUCUUCGCUAUCAUCAUGAAAGUGGUUUCCGUUUCCCGUACUAAAUUUCUCUUUCUUUUUCAGAUGGUUAUCAACUGAAAACAGUAUUUUCAGUAUUAUUCCUCUGCUGCUUUACUCCUGGUGGGAGCUCAGCCCCGCUGCUGCCUGAAACGGUAGUGCCGCAGACAGGUUGUAGCUCUACGGCCAUCAGCCCGCAGCGCUUCGUGCACCGCAACUAAUUGCUGUGAAGUAAUAAGCCGACAUAAAGCAGUCAGAUUAGGAUUUAGAUAAUUGCAGUAUGUUUAAAUGCGGGCUCCUGGCUGUUAGUUACCGUGGUGGGGAGCCGCCGGGCAUAGCCGGGCGCGCAGCUCCAUCUCCCGGGCAGCGGGGAAAGCCACCGGCGGCCGGGAUGAACCCACCACAGACCCGGCCACCGGCGGGGGACAGGGAGCCCUCCCUUUAGAAAUGCCGUCAGGACACUUCGAAGAUUGUUUCCCUCUGCUUGGGGAGUAUCUCAGCCUUUGCCUGACAGGGCAGUACAAUAUGUCGUGGCUGAAGAGCACUACAGAAAAUUCCAACAUCUGGCUUGGGGAUGGAAAAACCUGGAAAGCUGAGCACAAAGCAAGUUUGGGAAAUAGGGUUUGGGCACAGAGGCAUGUUCUCCUCCUCUGUUUGGUAAGUUUUUCAGAGAUAAGCAGUGAACUGGCCCUGAGAAACACUUUAGCUGUAAAAUUUGAGGUUUCAUAAAUCUAAAGGGUGGGUUGAGGUUAAGGUUAAGUUUAGGAUCUGGGAAAAUAAGUGCUGCAGAAGCAGGUUUUCUGCUGGAUUUUGCAGUCAUGAGAUUGGUACAGUCAUAUAUGAAUGCCUCGUUAAACUUGGAGGAGCCAUAGGUGUUUAAGAUCUUGUAGGCUGACAGUUGCAACUCUCUCUAGAGUUUGGAAAAGGUAAUUUGGAGGCAUCUUUUCUGUUGUAUGUGUAAGGCUCCCGGAGGUAAAGGGAAGGUAGGUCUGAAGAUAUUUAAUGGUUUUAUGCAAACUACCCAGGGCAACAGGGCAGUUGAGGUCAAGUUCAGGAAAAUAGAUCCCAGAAAUAGUUUCUCGUGGUGAAAGUAAGGCUUAUAGAGAUAUCUUUCCUGCUGCAAAGGCCCAUGAGAUCAUUUGAGAACAGGCAUCUACAUGCCUUAUUCUUAUUUUUGGGGUAGGAAGAGUGUUGCUAUGUUUUUGUGAAGUGAACAGAGAAGAGAACAAGGACUGCAGGAUCAGGUUUGCAUUAUGUUUUUGCAAGGUCUCCUCAAAGAUGAGUAAGAGCUGGUACAAAGGAAAGAUUUCAUCUUGAACUCUUGGAUAGCUCUCCUGAAAGUUAGGGUCAAGGCUUGUCUUCUGGUAGCCAUACAAGUAAAUACCAAGCUGAAGUGAGGAGAAUCUAAUGUGAUAUUCUUGAUUCUGGUGUAGCUUAAGCAACACUUUAUCUUACCUGUUUAAGGGUUCAUGUUUGGUUACAGAGUAGGAAGCAGUGCUUUCAAAGCCCAGACAGGGCUAGUACUGAUAGAUGUCACUGCCUCAUAUUUAACUUCAAAGCAGCCAUGAAUUUCAGGGAUUUGGUCAGGACUAGUGUUAAGGUUUGGAAUUCUGCAGAAGUCAUUUAUUUGCAGGUUACUACAGAAUUUCUGCAGGUUAUUUUACGAAGCCUGAUGCAGUUAGCUUGCGGUUUGUAGUUGUGGAUUUAAGGAGCUUAAUUUUUUGGGCAGCAGGUGGUGCUUGGUCUACACGAUCAUUUUAGUAGCCAUUAACCAUUGAACGGCUUGCUAUGACAUAGCAUUCAGUAGUGGGUGCUACAUGCUGCCCAUUUUUCACUGAGGGCUUUCAGCAGGACAAGUGAUGUGGUUAUGUGUGUUUGUCAUGGGAUUGGUGUUUGUGCAAAUCACUAGGAUAACCGGGAUUAACCGGAGGAUGGAGCAUGUAUAUGGUUGCAUUUUAAGCAAAUCAUGAUCAGGAUGGUUAUGAUCAGGAAUAUCAGAAAUAAAGGGAGAGAGAACUCUUGCCCCUGCUUCAUGUAGUCGUGAAGCCAGCUGACACAUCCAUGCCUGAAUCUGUCUCUGAAAAACAGGAUAGGGAAUCCACAUCCAGAAAACACAAAUAUGCAAAUCAGCAGGUGCUGCUUAUUUCCAGGCCCCCAUGCACAUCCAUGGGGUGGAGGCCCCAAGUAAAGUGUGGAGUAUGGUCAUUCAGCCCAUCUUGCCUGGCCACAGCACUCUGAAAGGGGACUUUGUCCUCAGUGUUCUCCUUUCCAUGGCCGUGAGCUCUACUUUCACACAUGAGCUAGGCAACGUUUUCAGACUUGCACCAGUGACUUGGGAGCCUACAUCCCAUUUCCAAAGGCGAUAAAAUGAAUCAGAAGGCCAAAGACGUGCACCUGUGGCAGCCGGAGCAGCCCUGAGCCGAGCAGGCUGGGAAGCCAUGGUAACAUGGGGCCCCCCCUUCUCCCAGCUCUGCCAAGGAUGAGAUGCUCAGCAGGGGCGAGCACAGCUACUGGCACUGGCACAAGCAGUGCCAGACUAGACAAAUUAGGACAUGAUGUUAUGGUUUGAGAAACCCCAUAACAAUCUAUUGUUGUUUAGUCAAUUAUUCUAUCCCCUCCCCACUCGGAAAGGGGAAUUGGGGAACACAAAGAAACACAAGGGUUGAAAUAUAAAUAGAUUUAAUAGACUAAGACUAAA